CCUACGGGUGGCAGCAGUAGGGAAUAUUGCUCAAUGGGGGAAACUCUGAAGCAGCAACGCCGCGUGGAGGAUGAAGGUUCUCGGAUUGUUAACUCCUUUUGUUAGAGAAGAUAAUGACGGCAUCUAACGAAUAAGCACCGGCAAAGUCGGAGCCAGCAGCCCCGGUAACACGGCGGGUGCAAGCGUUAUUCGGAAGCACUGGGCGUAAAGAGCGCGUAGGCGGGUUAGCAAGUCAGAUGUGAAGUCCUAUGGCUAACCCAUAGAACUGCAUUGAUAACUGUUAUUGUAGGGUCAGGUGGAGGUAGGUGGAAUUCUGGGUGUAGGGGUAAAAGCCG
rnacentral:rRNA from 1 species